CUAAUACUCUUUGUGGCUUGUUGAUUCCUUCCAUUGGAAGUUAACCCUAGUCGAGCCUACUUACCAUAUCCCGACUUACCUUAUGUUGGCCACUUGACUUACUAUAUAUAUUGGUGUUUUCACCCUUGUUGAACCCGUCCAAUGUUGAAGCCGUGAGAGUUAGAGAAACUGCCGUGCCCAGCCGUGUUCUUCUGCCUUCAUCUUCUUCAUGAUUUCUUCUCCACCCCAAUUGCUUGAGUCUUUGUGAACCUUACCUGAGUGGUAUCCAUCCUAAGUGAGUGGAUUAAAUCAACAAAGCAAAGGAGGAAAGCAACCA
rnacentral:lncRNA from 1 species